rnacentral:telomerase_RNA from 1 species
CCACUACCAAGGGUUUCUUUUGGUACUGCUCCGAAAGAAUCCAUUGUUUUUUCCUCUGGUCUUCCUGGGCGAGAACUCAACCAGGACAAGAUUUGCAGAGAUGAUAGCGCGGCUUUUACGGAUGAUUUUGUCUGCGCGGAAACCAUGCUUCUUUCCUUCAUUUUCACUCAUUACCGGAACGACCGGUGUGUAAAGGUUUAGAAGCAACAAAAUCCAGUC